rnacentral:rRNA from 1 species
AUUGAACGCUGGCGGCAGGCCUAACACAUGCAAGUCGAACGGAGUGGCGGACGGGUGAGUAAUGCCUAGGAAUCUGCCUGGUAGUGGGGGAUAACGUCCGGAAACGGGCGCUAAUACCGCAUACUAUCAGAUGAGCCUAGGUCGGAUUAGCUAGUUGGUGAGGUAAAGGCCUACCAAGGCGACGAUCCGUAGCUGGUCUGAGAGGAUGAUCAGCCACACUGGAAGUUGGACACGGUCCAGACUCCUACGGGCGGCAGCAGUGGGGAAUCUGGGACAAUGGGCGAAAGCCUGAUCCAGCCAUGCGGCGUGUGUGAAGAAGGUCUUCGGAUUGUAAAGCACUUUUAGCUGGGAGGCGGUACCAACAGAAUAAGCACCGGCUAACUUCGGGCCAGCAGCCGCGGUAAUUC